rnacentral:RNase_P_RNA from 1 species
GGAGACAGACGGGUGAGCGCAAGCGGCCACACGCGGCCGUCUUGAGGAAAGUCCGGACUCCGUGGGCAGGGUGCUCGCUAACGGCGAGGUGGCGCGAGCCACGGAUAGGGCCAUAGAAACGGAAACCGCCCGAAAGGUGAAUACCGAGUAAGGCAAGGGUGGAAAGGUGAGGUAAGAGCUCACCAGCGGUGCAGCGAUGCACCGGCUUGGCAACCCACACCCGGAGCAAGGUCAAGCAGGGGGUUGGUGGCCCGCCUGGUUCCCCCGGGUAGACCGCUUAGAUAGAUGCUCACCGAAACAGAAUCCGGCUUACGGUCUGUCUCCGAGU